CUGUAGGGCGUCUCGGUGAACAGAUGCGGCCUGGACCUCACCAGCCUGGCCAGAGACAGCAGCAGCAUUGGAGGGUUUGCAGCAGAAUUGUGCUGCACCACGAACUCCUUGGGCACCCUCGCCAACGCCUCGACUCCUGGGUCAUAUGAAGGUCAAACCUAGUAUCUGUUCCCGCGGUAUCCAACCCUCCACGUUGAUGAGGUCCAGCCAGUGAGCGGCCACGUCCAGGGCCAGGUCAGCCGACCACCACGACACCAGCAGCAAGUGGAAACCCUCAUCCCACAGGAACCCGCGCGGGAAGAACGAUCUGGUUGAAGAUCCUCUCGAAUUCCUCAUCAUAACCCAUCUUCAGCUUCUCCAUGGUUUUGGUGUACUCGUCUCCCCGGACAGGCGGUGUCGGCAGGUCCUCGGUGGUGUACACCACGUCCAGAACGAACGGCGUCUCCACCAACAUCUGGAUAGGCACGAAAUUCACCUCCUUGUCCUGGAAUAGCAAACAGCAAUCUCUUCAUCCGGCCCCAGCACAGCCAGCCUUCCAAGGUACGGCUGGUCCUCGAUCCUCAGCAGCGAGUAGAACUUCUCCUUGAGGAGGUGGAGACCAGCGGAAUGAGCCUCCGAGAGCGACGAGUGGAUGAGUAUACCUGAAUGCGGCACCAGAUGCACCCUGAAUCUCCCCAGGGCGGGGGUGUGCCCCAUCAGGGUGCCACGCUCCGCCCAGAGACGGGAAUGAGAUCCCGAGCCCAGAGACUCGUCCAGGGCUGCGUACCAGAUGAGAACUAAUGGCGGCGCGGAUUUACCCUGGUAUAAAAAGUAGCGGUUUAUUUGGGUUGCGAGAAAUGUUACUUCUUUGACCCUGGUCGGAGACAAUGCUCACACGAGAGGAUAUAAAUCAAGAUACGGAGUUCUGGAGAUCAGACCUCUAUGAAGAUUCUAUCCUGGGAGUCAGUUUAUAUAAAUGUUCAUCCUUGAAAAACUGCCCAUCAAAUAGUGUAAAAAAUUAUUAUCUUUUAUACUUUUGCCAGAACUAGAUUGGAUGGCGUUGAUAGCGAAAUCCACAAACAUCAGGUCCAGGAUGCAGGUCACCUGCAAAACUUUUCCAGCAUCAGACCGGUCCACAGAAGACCAGGUAACCCAGGGUGCCCACGUACACAGCUAUCGCGAGACAUAUGAAGCCGGCACCAGUCUUCCAUACUGAUAACAAGUGAAAUGCACGUCCUGCAAUAGACGUAUCGCUUGCCCCG